GCCGGUCUUACCCGCACUCUGCCGGGGCUGUCAUGCUCUGUGCCGUUAUUACGGUGUACGGCGCCGUUAUCCUGUCCUUACGCUCCUGCACCGAAACGGACCUUCCAUUUGAACAUCUAUGUCUAACUAUUGACCAUAGAAGGAUCGUAUAAUUGUGCAUUGAUAUAAGACCCCUGAAGAAGUCCUACAGACGAAACGCGUUUGAGAUAUCCAUCAACCUCCCGGGUCACCAUGGUUACGAACCAUAGAAGUCUUUAAAAUGUCCUUGGGACUUACACUCUGAGCGGAACUAUUUUAAGAGGAAUGAGAUACUGAGGGAGCUGGUUUACGAUACACACUUCCGGCGGCCGGAAGAAGGAUGCUAUUGAGUCCGGGGAGAGAAGAUCACGGCAUGAACAUCCGGCGGAAGUGGGACAAAUACAACACCCGCGAUAGACAGAAUCCCGCAGCAACACUGAAGCAGGAUAUGACGGAGCCCUGACGGAAGUGAGACGGACGCCAUCUCAUUUCGGACGGAAGUGAGCCGGCAGCCAUAUUGAGAGAGGCAACGGACUGCCUUAUGGCCGGGACUAUGUAUUAUUUAAUACAGAAACUUUUUAUUGAAGGGAACUUAUUCUUUGAUAUACAGAGGAGGGGGGUUAUGUUGGUAAUUGUCCACAUCUGAAUAUCGUUGUUAAUCAUAAUGGGUAUAUAUAUUGCACAUAUCACAGGUCACCCCAUACACCUUGACAAAGAUCCCCAGAGAAUCGAAACGCGUAGGUGGGGGUACCUGUGCUACGGUGAGGACGCUAUCUGGUGAGGAGAGAAUUCCGGGAUCGAAAUAAACGGGGCCCCGUUUGUUUUAAGUUACCAUCUCAUCCUUGGGCUAUCUCCAAACCGGGUAUGCUCCUUACAGUCUUUUAAAGUUGUUUUAAUAAAGUGUUAUU